CUAAGGUAUCUUCGAGACUUGGUGUUUCUCUAUCUGGGCAUUUGCUUCUGCGGGAGGCCUGCCUGCCACACUGCUCGGCAGAGUACCUGGCUGGCAUGAGUGACAGCUCGGUGGGAUAACUCUAGAGGCCCAGCAGGAC
rnacentral:lncRNA from 1 species